UGGGGUGUCGCCAAGCGGCAAGGCACGGGACUUUGACUCCCGCAUUCGCAAGGUUCGAAUCCUGCCACCCCAGCCA
rnacentral:tRNA from 4 species